rnacentral:rRNA from 1 species
AGUGAACGCUGGCGGUAGGCCUAACACAUGCAAGUCGAACGGCAGCACAGUAAGAGCUUGCUCUUACGGGUGGCGAGUGGCGGACGGGUGAGGAAUACAUCGGAAUCUACUUUUUCGUGGGGGAUAACGUAGGGAAACUUACGCUAAUACCGCAUACGACCUACGGGUGAAAGCAGGGGAUCUUCGGACCUUGCGCGAUUGAAUGAGCCGAUGUCGAAUUAGCUAGUUGGCGGGGUAAAGGCCCACCAAGGCGACGAUCCGUAGCUGGUCUGAGAGGAUGAUCAGCCACACUAGAACUGAGACACGGUCCAGACUCCUACGGGAGGCAGCAGUGGGGACUAUUGGACAAUGGGCGCAAGCCUGAUCCAGCCAUACCGCGUGGGUGAAGAAGGCCUUCGGGUUGUAAAGCACUUUUGUUGGGAAAGAAAAGCAGCAGGUUAAUACCCCGCUGUUCUGACGGUACCCAAAGAAUAAGCACCGGCUAACUUCGUG